AGGUAGUUGGUAAGGUAAAGGCCUACCAAGCCGAUGACGGGUAGCCGGUGUGAGAGCAUGGCCGGCCACAUGGGCACUGAGACAAGGGCCCAACUCCUACGGGAGGCAGCAGCAGGGAAUCUUGCGCAAUGGGCGAAAGCCUGACGCAGCAACGCCGCGUGGGUGAAGAAGGCCUUCGGGUCGUAAAACCCUUUUCUCAGGGAAGAAGCCCUGACGGUACCUGAGGAAUAAAUCUCGGCUAAUUACGUGCCAGCAGCCGCGGUGACACGUAAGAGGUGAGCGUUAUCCGGAUUUACUGGGCGUAAAGGGCGCGUAGGUGGCUGGAAAAGUCCCUCGUGAAAUCUCCCGGCUUAACCGGGAGGGAGCGGAGGAUACUUUCUGGCUUGAGGGCAGCAGAGGAAGGUGGAAUUCCCGGUGUAGCGGUGAAAUGCGCAGAUAUCGGGAGGAACACCGGUGGCGAACGCGGCCUUCUGGGCUGUUCCUGACGCUGAGGCGCGAAAGCGUGGGGAGCAAACAGGAUUAGAUACCCUGGUAGUCACGCCGCAACCGUUGGACACUAGAUAUGGGGGGUAUCGACCCUCUCUGUGUCGAAGCUAACGCGUUAAGUGUCCCGCCUGGGUAGUACGGCCGCAAGGCUAAAAUUCAAAGGAAUUGACGGGGGCCCGCACAAGCAGCGGAGCGUGUGGUUUAAUUCGAUGAUACGCGAAGAACCUUACCAGGGCUUGACAUGCCAGAAGUAGGAACCUGAAAGGGGGACGACCGGUAACCAGCCCGGAACUGGCACAGGUGCUGCAUGGCUGUCGUCAGCUCGUGCCGUGAGGUGUUGGGUUAAGUCCCGCAACGAGCGCAACCCUCGUCCCAUGUUACUCUCUCAUGGGAGACUGCCGGGUAAAACCCGGAGGAAGGUGGGGAUGACGUCAAGUCAGCAUGGCCUUUAUGCCCUGGGCCACACACACGCUACAAUGGGUGGUACAAAGGGCUGCGAACCCGCGAGGGGGAGCUGAUCCCCAAAAGCCACCCCCAGUUCGGAUUGGAGGCUGCAACCCGCCUCCAUGAAGGUGGAGCUGCUAGUAACCGCUGAUCAGCAUGCAGCGGUGAAUACGUUCCCGGGCCUUGUACACACCGCCCGUCA
rnacentral:rRNA from 1 species